AUAAGCCAAAUGCUGUGUAAAAUGCUGGGGAUAAGGACUAGCCCUGUGGUUUCCUUGGAAAAGGUAAGUCCCUCUACCAAUAUAGAUCAUUACUUUCUCUGAAAUGAAGGGUCUUAGUUACUUCAAGCCCUAGGAGUUAAGUGACAAGUCUAGGGUCACAUAGCUGGUAUGAAUCAAAAGUAGGAUCUGAACCCAUUUUUCUGUCUUCAAGACCAUCUCUUUAGCUACUCUGUUGCCUCUUACUUGAGGGCUAUAAAGCCAAAAUGAAAUAGUCACUCAACCAUCAUUAUUAAAUUUUGGCUCUGCUUCAAGAAUUACAUCCCUGUUCUCAGGAAGUUUUCCUUUGACUAGGAAGAAUAUUAAUUAGCCUGGGAUCUAGGAGACCUGGCUUUGCCACUAACUAGUGACCAUAAGUUCCGUAGCCUUAUUCUUAUCUGUAAAAUGGAGGGGGAUGGAAAUGGGUCACCAAAGUCCUUUCUAGCUCUAAAAAUCCUUCUGUCUUAGGAAUAUGUAAGUACAUCAAAACUUUGGUUAGUUCUUCUUUCAUAGGAUUUUUAAAGUCUUCAGUUUUUAAAAUUUAAAGCAUGGAACCUUAGAGACCAGGUACUCCAGGCCCUUCGUUUUAAAGGGGAGAAAACUGUACCAGGGAAAAGUGACUUGACCCAGGAAGACUGUCUAGAUGGUCAAUGAGAGAGCUGGAGUUUCCUCAUUCCCCAUCAGUCUUCUUAGUCUGAUUCUCUAUCACUCAAGAGACCCUGUAACUUUCUCUUUCUCUCCUCUUUCUAGGUCUCUGCUAUCCCUUACCUACCUCUAGCUGGAAUCACUUUGGAUUGAUUACUUCCUUGAAUUUCCCUAGAGAGGGCCCACCAGGCCCUUCACUGGAAAGAAGGUGAUGAAACUGAGGUUCAGAGAAGUUUACUGACUUGCCUAUGGGCAUAUGAAAGGCCAAGGAGAUGCCUGGAAUCUCAAAGGUUGUGAUGACCAAAUGAAUGGUUUGAGAGUUCUACCAACCUGGAAAGACUGCCAGUGCAGGCUCAAUGAUGAACUAUCCCUUGAAGACCAGCCAAGCGAGGUUCAGAAGUUCAUAAGCACAAAGUUGAAGAAGUGA
rnacentral:lncRNA from 1 species